rfam:Echinostoma caproni strain Egypt genome assembly, scaffold: ECPE_scaffold0014510
GCACUGCUGACGAGUCUCAAACAGGACGAAACAGCAGUCCAAUGC